rnacentral:rRNA from 1 species
UACGGGGGGGGUAAGCGUUGUGCGGAAUUAUUGGGCGUAAAGGGCUCGUAGGCGGUUUGUCGCGUCGGGAGUGAAAUCCACUGGCUUAACUGGUGGCUUGCUUUCGAUACGGGCAGACUGGAGGUAUGCAGGGGAGAACGGAAUUCCUGGUGUAGCGGUGAAAUGCGCAGAUAUCAGGAGGAACACCGGUGGCGAAGGCGGUUCUCUGGGCAUGUCCUGACGCUGAGGAGCGAAAGUGUGGGGAGCGAACAGG